rnacentral:rRNA from 1 species
CGCAUCUGUGCAUGCAGCAUAUCAAUAAGCGGAGGAAAAGAAACUAACAAGGAUUCCCCUAGUAACGGCGAGUGAAGCGGGAAGAGCUCAAAUUUGAAAUCUUAAAGGGUUUCCCUUUACGAAUUGUAGUUUAAAGAAGUGUUUUCUGUUGAGGUUUUGGUAAAAGUUCUUUGGAAUAGGACAUCAUAGAGGGUGAGAAUCCCGUAUUUGACCUUUACUUUCAACUUUGUGAUACACUUUCAAAGAGUCGGAUUGUUUGGGAAUGCAGUCCAAAAUGGGUGGUAAAUUUCAUCUAAAGCUAAAUAUUGGCGAGAGACCGAUAGCGAACAAGUACCGUGAGGGAAAGAUGAAAAGAACUUUGAAAAGAGAGUUAAACAGUACGUGAAAUUGUCAAAAGGGAAGCGUUUGACACCAGUGUUGUUUUUCUGAAAAUCAAUUAAAGAACUGUAUAUGCUAAGUUGUUUAGACUUUAUCAGCUAACUGUUUAGUUUUGAGCUUUUCUUUAAUGCACUUUUCAGUUAACAAGUCAACAUCAAUUUCUUUUGCUGUAAAAAAGCUUGAGGAAGGUGGCUUGAGAUUCGUCUUAAGUGUUUAUAGCCUCUUGCCUAUGCAGUCGGAGAGAUUGAGGUCCGCAGCGUAGAUCCUUCGGGGCUAAAUGCAUUUGUGCUAAGUUAUAGCAUUUUAUAGACAACUUGUUGACUAUGAUUUGUCUUGUAGCUUACUCGCUUAUGUUAUUUUACCUACGCUUAGGAUGUUGACAGCAGUAUAGACUGU